CGUUAUGUAUGUAUUUAUUUAUUUAAUUGCUGGUGACAAUCUUGCCUAUUUUGCAGAGCCAUCAAUUGUCAAAGCCAGAGAUGGGGAGAGAGAGAGAGAGAGAGAGAGAGUGCAGCCAUGCCUCGCUGUAGAUAUUGUCAUGCUUUCCUACACUGUCCUACAAGCGUCGUAGUAAUCUGUCCAGCAAAUUUGAGUCCGUCUAACUCAGAUUUUACGUCAGUGUCACUCAAACGUUAGUCCCGCUGACACGAAUACAUCAUUCAGACCGAGUCCGUCAUGUCUGUGACUAGCGCCUCCGCGAGAAAUGCCUGAAAGAUAUCGACAUAAAUCUGAGUGAGCAAAGACUGAGUGACGUAUUUGAGUCUCGGUUUGACAAGGUUAGAGCAUACAAGACUCAAAAGUGUGUGAGUCCAGAUGACUGACGUUGGAGUGACCGGUGUCCUGCUGAUACGUUAGAAGUAAGCUGAAGUCCUAUUUUAAACAUUGAACUUAUUGUCAUGUUCAUGAAGACAGUUUGGGACGAGGUUUGCUUUGUGAUACGGUGCAUUAUUGUGUGGAAGUAGCCAUUAGAAGAUGGUAAAUUGUGGUCAUGAAAGGAGUCACAUAGUCAACAAAGUGUGCCAAGAAAACAUUCCCCAGACCAUUACACUACCUCCACCAGCCUGGACUGUUAACACAAGCAGGUUGGGUCCAUGAAUUCAUGCUGUUGGCACCAAAUUCUAACCCUCCCAUCUAUGUGCCUCAAAAUCGAGGUUCAUGAGACCAGGCUACGGUUUUCCAUCUUCAGCUGUCGAGUUUUGGUGAGCCUGUGCCCAUUGCAGCCUCAGCUUUCUGUUCUUGGUUGACAGAAGUGGAACCUGACGUGGUCUUCUGCUGUUGUAGCCCAUCUGGCCAUUCUCCAUUGGCCUCUCUCAUCAACAAGGUGUUUCUGUCCACAGAGUUGCCGCUCACUGGAUGUUUUUUUUAUUGCACCAUUCUGAGAAACUCUAGAGACUGUUAUGUGUGUGAAAAUUCCAGGAGAUCAGCAGUUAUAGAAAUACUCAAACCAGCCCAUCUUGCACCAACAAUCGGUCAAAAUCAUGAUCACGUUUUCCCAAUUCUGAUGGUUGAUGUGAACAUCUGCAUGAUUUUAUGCACUGCACUGCUGCGACACGAUUGGCUGAUUAGAUAAUUGCAUGGAUGAAUAGGUGUACAGGUAUUCUUAAUGAAGUGCUUAGUGAGUGUAGCUCUGAGAUGUAAUACAUUUUUUGCAGCAUUGUGGUUCUAUUUUGGACCAUUCAUAUUGCCAAACUGUCUUCAGUUCCUCAAGGAAUUUCAAAAUCCUCCAUAAAUUUUCAAUGAGAUUCAAGUUAGGAGAUUGGCAAGACCAUUCAAUGCCUUUUUGAGUUAUUUCAGUUGUAUGUUUGGGGUCUUUCUCUUGUUGAAUUGUCCAUUUUCUCUCCAGAUUCACUUUCUUGGCUGAUGAGAUCAAAUGAUCCUCUAACAUGUCUUGGUACAUCUCUCCAUCCAUGUUCGCUUCAGUGACAUGUAAUGCCCCAGUAGCGUUCGAGAAGAAACAUCCUGUAUCAUGAUGCUCCCACCGGCGUACCUACUAUCAUACGCGUUGCUUAUUGUUCUCUGUGUAACUGUUGUUCCUGCUGCGCUCAGGUUUACCUUCCUUAUCAUUAGUCUGAGAGCACGUUGGGAAAUCUUGCAUGGAGCACCUGUCCAGAGACGAUUAGUUGUGGUUCUGUGAACUUUCCACCUGCAUAUUAUCAAACAUCUGGAUUUUAUCCUCAUAAUCAGGUUAUUCAGUGCCUGAAUACCUGUAAUCUGGUAUUGUAUAGUUGUACACAUGUGUGCAUUGGGAAGAGCUGCACCAGGAGCAGUACACACAGCUGUCUGAACAACUGUAAAGAUAAAUAAUGUAUGAUCGGUAUUUGAAAUUUUAUGGUGCGUUCUUCUUGGGCAGAUUUGUUGGAAUUUUGCAACGUGGCUGUUUUUCCAAGCGUGUGUGUGUAUGUGUGUGUGUGUGUGUGUGUGUGUGUGUGUGUGUGUGUGUUAUGGGUCUGAUUGACAGGUUUGGUCAAACCAUGAAGGUGCCACAUUUGUCCUCAUGUCCCCUAUUCUUACACUCUGUGUGUGUGUGUGUCUGUGUAUGUACACUGCAACACUGGUGCCUCUCUGAAACACACACACACACACACACACACACACACACACAUUCACACACACAUUCACACACAUACACACAUACAGACUUACAUAGACACAUACACACAUACAUACACACACACACACACACAUACAUACACACAUUCAUACACACACACACACACACACACACACACAUACAUACACACACAUACACGCAUACAUACACACAUACACACACAUAUACACACAUACACACACACAUACAUACACACUUACAUACACACACACAUACACACAUACAUACACAUACACACACACAUAUACAUACAUACACACACACACACACACAUACACACACGCACACACACACUCGCAGGAAGGAAGCAUACACAAAGACAGAUAGAGAGCAGGGAGGAUAUGAGAGAAAAAGUGACAGACAGACAGAGACAGACUCUCAAAAAGGGAGAGAGAGGAAGAAAGAGAUGGUGAAGGAUAAAGCUGGUGACACGAACACCACGACUCUGUCCUUCUGUCUCUCUCUCUCUCUCUCUCUCUCAGAUUGGAGAUGGAGCGGGGGAUGAGAAUGAAAGCAGCUUGCUGACGAUUCAGGCGCUGGGAUGUGACCGAGCACGAUUACCUUAUUCGGAUAACUCAUUCUAAACAAAUACAAACGGGUUGUGAAGACCAGCACAGGCAAAAAAAAGCACUUCAACAAAGGGACUAUGAUGCUUCCAGGAAUGGGCUAAGGUCCCCUGUCUUUCAAAGGAAAAAAACAUUUGUGGAAGUUUUUAUGCCACCAGGAACAACAGCACCAGCAAGGGUGGUAAGAAAAAGAGACAGAAUGGUAUGAGGAAGCGACGCUGGGGCUGAUUUCAUUCUAGCUCAAGCUAUGUCUGGUAGCAUUCUCCAAACCCAGAUUCAUCCACCAGACUGCCAGAUAGUAAAGCAUGAUUCAUCACUCUAGAGAACAGAUUCCCACUGCUCCAGAGUCUAGUGCUGGUGUUUUACACCACUCCAACCAACGCUUAACAUUGUGCAUGGUGAUCUAGGCUUGUGUGCAGCUGCUUGGUCAUGGAAUCUCAAUUCAUGAAGGUCUCGAUGCACAGUUCUUGUGGUGACGAUGCUUCCAGAGGCAGUUUGAAACUCUGUAGUGAGUGGUAAAACAGAUGGGGCAGACCUAGCAGGGCAGCAAUUUCAAGAUCUGACUUGUGGCAAAGGUGGUGACAGUGCCACAUGUAAAGCCGCUGAACUCUUCUUCCAUUCCACUGCCAUGAUUUUUAUGUAUGUCGAUGCUUGAUUUUAUAUACUUGUUAGCAAUGGGUGUGGCUGAAUCACCUGAGCUCAGUAAUUAGGAGGGGUGUCCACAUACUUUUGGCCAUACAGUGUAUUAGAUUUUAGCCCUCCUAUUGAAUAUUACCACCAGCCGUCACUAGGUACUGUUCCUGGCUAUGAACGACUGGGGCAUUGUCGGGAUUUCAACCCUCAAUUUUCAAAUGACACAGUGAAUACUUUACUAUUGCACCCUUUGGGAGGCUCACAAUUGUGCAGCAUCAUCACUACUGGCUUCAGUCAUCAAUCUUUUUUUUUGUUAUUAUAAUAAACUGAUAUAGUUGGACACUUAACUAUUUGUCGGGUUCCCAUCAUGAUUGGAAUACAUGAUCGUGUCUAUCCUGAAAACUUUCCCCUUGUUGAAAAAAGUUACAGCAUUACCUUUCACUCUGACACUGGAGACUCCUUCAAAAAAAUGCUAAUUAAACGUUUCCCCACAGAAAUCUUCACAAUAUCAACAAUUAUACGCAAUUUUUUUUAAAAGAUUCCACCGUGUAAGUCCCUGUGUAAAUUAUUAAGAAGCUGUUGUA